rnacentral:rRNA from 1 species
UCGAACGAGAAAGUGGAGCAUCCAUGAGUAAAGUGGCGUACGGGUGGGUAACACGUGGAUCAUCUACCUCUUAGUGGGGAAUAACCCUGGGAAACCGGGGAUAAUACCGCAUAAGUCCUUUGGGAGAAAGCAGCAAUGCGCUGAGAGAGGAGUCCGCGGCCGAUUAGCUAGUUGGCAGGGUAAGAGCCUACCAAGGCAACGAUCGGUAGCCGGCCUGAGAGGGCACGCGGCCACACUGGCACUGAAACACGGGCCAGACUCCUACGGGAGGCAGCAGUGGGGAAUCUUGCACAAUGGGGGAAACCCUGAUGCAGCGACGCCGCGUGAGCGAUGAAGCCCUUCGGGGUGUAAAGCUCUUUCGGCAGGGAAGAUAAUGACGGUACCUGCAGAAGCAGCUGCGGCUAACUACGUGCCAGCAGCCGCGGUAAUACGUAGGCAGCAAGCGUUGUUCGGAGUUACUGGGCGUAAAGGGUGUGUAGGCGGUUGUUUAAGUUUGGUGUGAAAUCUCCCGGCUCAACUGGGAGGGUGCGCCGAAUACUGAAUGACUUCGAGUGCGGGAGAGGAAAGUGGAAUUCCUGGUGUAGCGGUGAAAUGCGUAGAUAUCAGGAGGAACACCGGUGGUGUAGACGGCUUUCUGGACCGUAACUGACGCUGAAACACGAAAGCGUGGGUAGCAAACAGGAUUAGAUACCCUGGUAGUCCACGCCCUAAACGAUGCAUAUUUGGUGUGGGCAGUUCAUUCUGUCCGUGCC